UAAUAUUAAAUUAUUCUAUUAUAAUUUUUAUUUUAUAAAUAAAAUAACUAGUUAAAAUUAGUAAUAUUAA
rnacentral:tRNA from 1 species